rnacentral:rRNA from 1 species
GAGGCUAAUGCCCCAUAGAUCUGGGAUGCUGGAACGCUUCCAGGUCGAAAGCUCCGGCGCCUGAGGAUGGGUCUGCGGCCUAUCAGCUUGUAGGGGGUUUUACAGACCCCCUAGGCUUCGACGGGUACGGGCUAUGGGAGUAGUCGCCCGGAGAUGGAUUCUGAGACACGAAUCCAGGCCCUACGGGGCGCAGCAGUCGCGAAAACUCCGCAAUGUGGGAAACCACGACGGGGGAACUCCCAGUGCGUGCACUUUGUGUACGCUGUUCUCGUUCCUAAAAAGCACGAGAAGUAAGGGCCGGGUAAGACGGGUGCCAGCCGCCGCGGUAAUACCCGCGGCCCGAGUGGUGCUCAUUAUUAUUGAGUCUAAAACGUCCGUAGCCGGUCGGGUAGAUUCCUGGGUAAAUCGAACCGCUCAACGGUUCGAAUUCCGGGGAGACCGUCCGACUUGGGACCGGGAGAGGCGCGAGGUACUCCUGGGGUAGGGGUAAAAUCCUGUAAUCCUGGGAGGACCACCAGUGGCGAAGGCGUCGCGCUAGAACGGAUCCGACGGUCAGGGACGAAGCCCAGGGGCGCAAACGGGAUUAGAUACCCCGGUAGUCCUGGGUGUAAACGCUGCA